AAAGGGACAGUGAGCUCGUAGGAUUUUACUAUCACAACAACGUGUACUUACUGUAAUAACACAACUCGUCUUACCCACACGUAUUUGUUACCAGAUACCUAAUUUAAUUGUUAUAAUUAAUUAACAUGGCCAUCACGCUACAAAUUUGACGGCGCCAUAACACCCGCGACCGUGCUGCUACCCCGA